UUCGACGUCUUCUCUGCGCCCGUGUCGCGGCCAUUGGCGGAGUACGCCGGGCUCCGCCACACGGGACGGCGUGUCCGUGAACAUCGCACCGCCAACGCCGCCUGCACGACCGUUGAGACCAGCCACAACGCGUCCACGCCAACCAGCUGCGCCACGCUCGACGCCUGCCCGAGCGCACCCCACAGGCCGGAGGCCGCUUCUCGCCGGGAAGCAGCGCAUCCGCUCUCCGCCGCCGAUCCGGCCCCCGCUCCCCGCGUACGGGCCGGAGCUCCAGCCCCCACUCCACCCCGAGACCACGCCACCGUCCCGUCGCUCCGCCUCAUGGCCAGGUCGCCGCCGCUCCGCUGGAGGCCGAGAAAGCAAGCAAGCAAAAUAACAAGUGAGGAAAGGAGGAAAGCAGAGUAG
rnacentral:lncRNA from 1 species